rnacentral:rRNA from 1 species
CCCUUAGAUGUUCUGGGCUGCACGCGCGCUACACUGAUGCACUCAACGAGUUUACGACCUUGUCCGAGAGGAUUGGGUAAUCUUUUUAAAAUGCAUCGUGAUGGGGAUAGAUUAUUGCAAUUAUUAAUCUUCAACGAGGAAUUCCUAGUAAGCGCGAGUCAUCAGCUCGUGCUGAUUACGUCCCUGCCCUUUGUACACACCGCCCGUCGCACCUACCGAUUGAAUGGUCCGGUGAAAUCUUGGGAUUUUGUUUUGUUUGCAUUUAUUUGUAUCGAGACGAGAGAACUUGAGUAAACCUUACCAUUUAGAGGAAGGUGAAGUCGUAACA